GACGAACGCUGGCGGCGUGCUUAACACAUGCAAGUCGAACGAAGUGGCGAACGGGUGAGUAACGCGUAAUCAACCUGCCCUUCAGAGGGGGACAACAGUUGGAAACGACUGCUAAUACCCCAUACUGAAGGAGGGGAUUGCGUCGGAGUGGCUAGUUGGAGGGGUAACGGCCAACCAAGGCGAUGAUCAGUAGCCGGGUGGAGAGGAUGAACGGCAACAUUGGGACUGAGACACGGCCCAGACUCCUACGGGAGGCCGCAGGGGGGAAUCUUCCGAAAUGGACGAAAGGCUGACGGAGCAACGCCGCUGGGGUGAUGACGGCCUUCGGGUUGUAAAGCUCUGUUAAUCGGGACGCGGUACCGGGAGAGAAAGCCACGGCUAACUACGUGCCAGCAGCCGCGGUAAUAC
rnacentral:rRNA from 1 species